rnacentral:rRNA from 1 species
CCUACGGGGGGCAGCAGUGGGGAAUAUUGGGCAAUGGGCGCAAGCCUGACCCAGCAACGCCGCGUGAAGGAAGAAGGCUCUCGGGUUGUAAAAUUCUUUUCUUAGGGACGAAGAAAGUGACGGUACCUGACGAAUAAGCCACGGCUAACUACGUGCCAGCAGCCGCGGUAAUACGUAGGCGGCAAGCGUUAUCCGGAUUUACUGGGUGUAAAGGGCGUGUAGGCGGGAAAGCAAGUCAGAUGUGAAAACCAUGGGCUCAACCUGUGGCCUGCAUUUGAAACUGUGUGUCUUGAGUACUGGAGAGGCAGACGGAAUUCGUGGUGUAGCGGUGAAAUGCGUAGAUAUUAGGAGGAACACCAGUGGCGAAGGCGGUAUGCUGGACAGCAACUGACGCUGAGGCGCGAAAGCGUGGGGAGCGAACAGGAUUAGAUACCCCAGUAGUC